rnacentral:tRNA from 1 species
UAUUCAACUACAAAAACAUAUUA